rnacentral:tRNA from 2 species
GAGCCGCUAGCUCAGUUGGCAGAGCACCGCCCUUUUAAGGCGGGUGUCCGGAGUUCGAGCCUCCGGCGGCUCA